rnacentral:lncRNA from 10 species
GUGAUGAUUUUCAUCUUGACUGGGGAUGCUCCCCAUUCUGAACACCAGCAUCAUGCAUCCUUUGCUCUGUUCUAGGCACAACAAUCAAAAGUGCUUAUUCCCAAACUGGACCUGACUUCAGCCAGAGCAUUGCUGGGACAUAUAUAAAUCUACGUUUAAUAUUUGAAGACUUGCCAGACUGUUUCCUAAAACACCUGCAGCAUUUUACAUUCCCACCAGCAAAGUACGAAAAGCUUCCAAUUUCUCUACAUCCUCACCGACAAUCAGUUUUUUAUUUUAAAUGCUAUAGUUACAAAGAAAAGUUUUAGAAUGAAUUAAUGCUGUGAUUUUAAUCACAAAGAUUAAUUUUGCAAUAAAAAUCCCUGAUAAUUAUGAUUAUAUGUGUGUGUUUGUAUUUCAACUGAGAAUUGAAGGUUGAGAACUUGGAUUGAGACUAUAUUUGAAAGGUAAAUUUCUUUC